GGAAGGCUCUCGUGCUUCUUGAUAGUGAAGGUUUCGAAAUAGACAAUGGAAUUUAGUAAAGAUGGAAAGUGUUUGAACAUCAUCGUGCUCUGCCAAGGGCCUAAUCAGGGAAGACAAAUGAAUUCGAAAAUGACAUUGUCUACGGCAGAGCUUUAGAAGCAACAUUAUCCCUGCAUGGCAGCAAUAGUGACCAUAAGUCAUUUGCGAUCACUAUGCAAAGGCCAAGUGUAUCAGGUCUUAAUC